UACGUAGGGUCCGAGCGUUGUCCGGAAUUAUUGGGCGUAAAGGGCUCGUAGGCGGUUCGUCACGUCGGGAGUGAAAACUCGGAGCUUAACUCCGAGCCUGCUUCCGAUACGGGCAGACUAGAGGUAGGCAGGGGAGAGCGGAACUCCUGGUGUAGCGGUGGAAUGCGCAGAUAUCAGGAAGAACACCGGUGGCUAAGGCGGCUCUCUAGUACGGUACUGACGCUGAGACGCGAAAGCGUGGGGAGCGAACAGG
rnacentral:rRNA from 1 species